rnacentral:lncRNA from 1 species
UUCACCCCACCCACAUUUUUUAAUGGAGCUGAAGUGAACACACUCUUUUAGGUUACUGCUGUUUAGGCAAGACUCUGUCUAGCUCCAAGAAUAACAUUAGCUGCUGCAGCACAGAUUAAGGGUUGGCAUGAAGGUCCAAGUGUGAGUUUGUCAUCGUUGGUUGGUGCCUGUUGUUCUGAAGACGAGAGAAGCACGAGCUUGUGUGACAUCAGCUUCCGCCUGAAGCAAAUACAAAGCACAGGACUUCUGAGCAUGGCAAGAGACCGUGAAGCAGCAGCACAGAGCACCAGUGAUAGGAUCUGACUGCCACCUGCAUGCUGUGUAAUGUGUAUCUUCCACAGAAAGAACAUUUUGCAGCUGCAAGAUUCCUUCGCUGCUAAGUAAGAAAGCCAAGAUUCUUUCACAAGCUCAAGAAGCAUAUUGCUGCUUUCCAAUAGAGCGUUGGUUUGAUGUGGCCUCUGCCUUCUCACUGGCUAAUCGAGCUCCACUGGGACUGGAGAUGGGUUCCAAGAAAGUACAAUUGAUUAGAUGCAUAUUUUCUGAAUUAUACAACAGAUCACACCCAGCUGCACAGCUUUUCUCAGCUUUCUCAGAAGGCAGCUGAGAGAAAUAGCAAACUCUGGACAUUUGUGUAGAUGGAUUGACUAAAUGGGUACCUACUUUCCACGUUCCACUGCCUGGGUCAUGGUUUCAAGGUGACACAUCAGGAAAGACAAGCAAGAAUGGCACUGUAGGAACAGCAGAGAUACAGCUUAAUCUCAAUUUAUUCUCUUUUAUUUUCUUCCUCCAAAGAAGGGAUGAAGAAAGUUGAUAAAGCUUCAUGUUAUUUUUAUUUAUUGUAGAAGAACCACACAUCUUCAGCCUAUCAAAGCUCAUUACAAUUAAUAUAACUUUAAAAAGUAA